rnacentral:tRNA from 1 species
GGAGAGGUGGCCGAGCGGCUGAAGGCGUCCGCCUGCUAAGCGGAUAAUGUGUUUAUAGCGCAUUCGAGGGUUCGAAUCCCUCCCUCUCCG